CUCAUUUACGCUCCCUUAUACAUAUAAUAUAUACCAGGGUCAUUGUUGGGCUGGAAAAGAUACUGUUCCUCAUCCCUUGGGCACAUGAGAUGAAUGACUGUUCCUGCCCUGCGUUGAGCCGGUUGAACACACUUGGCCAGCGCUUAAUCCAGUGGGAUCUGCACAAGCUGGGGCACAGUACGGCGACUAGAUCACUCCUAUCAUGAAUGAGCAACGCAUCCAACAGUAGAAGAAGCUUUGACUGCUUUAUUACCAAACUAACUAGCAGCCAGGACAGCAAAUACAGUAAAUCUCUGGCACAAACUUUACAGAGGGAUUUUGGCAAUGGAUUAUCUGUGAGAUUGUGGUGAUUGCUCACACCACAAAGAGUACAUAUGGAAAUCUUUGGUCAUUCUGACCGACUGAGUUCACAAAGAUACUCAUCUGAGUGGUUUUGUCUGUAUCUUUGCUACAUGAGACAUUGUCUGAAUCUGAUUCAUGUAAAACCUGCUGACCUCUGCUUCACAUGCUUUCCUUGUGUGUCCUCCUCUGGCGUGUGCCUAGGUCAUUUGCAUUCAGCCAAUAACCAUCAAUUUAUCAUAGUAUGAACACAUGUGCUCUCUCACACAGGCACACAUGGACGGCUUGAGGCAGACCAUCCAUUCUCAUUAGUACCCUGUUGCAGUCGGCUGACGGUAAACUGAGUGUGUGCCAAAGUCAUAAACUUACACACCCCCUCCCGCCAUUACCUCAUGAUUAUGAUAUCACACAAGUGUCUCAUAGUGAUGACAUCACACCACCAGAUUUGCGGUCUGGCCAAGUGUAAGUACAUUACACUUGGCCAGUUCAUGCCAAGACCCUUAUCCCUGAUAAGCCAAGGACAAAAUGUAGACUGUGAGACUGGGGUCCAGUCUGGAGGGUAAUUACCAAUUUUACUAUUGAGAUGAAAGCAUCUGGUUGAGGUAUUGUCCUGUUUAGAGGGGUUUAUUGGAAACAAUUUAAGUUCUUGUUCACACUCUGAGAUAAUGGUGUUGGCAAGCAUUGUCACUACCUAUAGCAUGGAAAUUUGCCAAAACCAGAUUAAAAGUUUAAUAACAUUU